rnacentral:rRNA from 1 species
CCCGACUGCUAUUUGGGUGAGGAUAAGCCAUGCGAGUUGAAUGGGAAACCUAAAAAUCCCAUGGCAAACUGCUCAGUAACACAUGAUCAACUUACCCUAUAGAGGAAAAUAACCUCGGGAAACUGAGGAUAAUGUUCCAUAGUUGAAUCGGCUUGGAAAAGUUUUUCAAUAAAAGGGAUAAGGAAGAUGGUCCUUAUCUGCUAUAGGAUAGGAUCGUGUUCGAUUAUGGUUGUUGGUGAGGUAAAGGCUCACCAAGCCGAUAAUCGAUAGGGGCCGUGAGAGCGGGAGCCCCGAGAUGGGUACUGAGACAACGACCCAGGCCUUACGAGGCGCAGCAGGCGCGAAACCUCCGCAAUACACGAAAGUGUGACGGGGUUACCCAAAGUGUUCAUUAGAACUGUGGUAGGUGAGUAAUGUUCCCUACUAGAAAGGAGAGGGCAAGGCUGGUGCCAGCCGCCGCGGUAAAACCAGCUCUUCAAGUGGUCGGGAUGAUAUUGGGCUUAAAGCGUCCGUAGCCGGCUUAGCAAGUCUCCUGUUAAAUUCAGCGACCUAAUCGUUGAGCCGCGGGAGAUACUACUAGGCUAGGAGGCGGGAGAGGUCGACGGUAUUUCCGGGGUAGGGGUGAAAUCCUAUAAUCCCGGGAGGACCGCCAGUGGCGAAGGCUGUCGACUAGAACGCGCUCGACGGUGAGGGACGAAAGCUGGGGGAGCGAACCGGAUUAGAUACCCGGGUAGUCCCAGCCGUAAACGAUGCGGGCUAGGUGUUGGGGUGGCUACGUGCCACUUCAGUGCCGCAGGGAAGCCAUUAAGCCCGCCGCCUGGGGAGUACGGCCGCAAGGCUGAAACUUAAAGGAAUUGGCGGGGGAGCACCACAAGGCGUGAAGCUUGCGGUUCA